CAGUCGCCACGGUAAUGCGUAGGUGGCAAGCGUUGUCCGGAAUUAUUGGGCGUAAAGGGCUCGCAGGCGGUUUCUUAGGUCUGAUGUGAAAGCCCCCGGCUCAACCGGGGAGGGUCAUUGGAAACUGGGAAACUCGAGUGCAGAAGAGGAGAGUGGAAUUCCACGUGUAGCGGUGAAAUGCGUAGAGAUGUGGAGGAACACCAGUGGCGAAGGCGACUCUCUGGUCUGUAACUGACGCUGAGGAGCGAAAGCGUGGGGAGCGAACAGGAUUAGAUACCCCCGUAGUCCCUGUCUCUUAUAC
rnacentral:rRNA from 1 species